rnacentral:rRNA from 1 species
GACGAACCGAGCGAACGUUGUUCGGAAUCACUGGGCUUAAAGGGUGCGUAGGCGGGCUGCCAAGUUUGGGGUGAAAUCCUCCGGCUCAACCGGGGAAGUGCCUUGAAUACUGGCGGUCUGGAGGGAGGUAGGGGCGUGCGGAACUAACGGUGGAGCGGUGAAAUGCGUUGAUAUCGUUAGGAACUCCGGUGGCGAAGGCGGCACGCUGGACCUCUUCUGACGCUGAGGCACGAAAGCCAGGGGAGCGAACGGGAUUAGAUACCCCGGUAGUCCUGGCCCUAAACGUUGAGAACUAGGUAGUAGGCCGGACAUGGGCUUACUGCCGGAGCAAAAGUGCUAAGUUCUCCGCCUGGGGAGUAUGGUCGCAAGGCUGAA